rnacentral:rRNA from 1 species
UACGUAGGGACCGAGCGUUGUCCGGAAUCAUUGGGCGUAAAGAGCGUGUAGGCGGCCCCUUAAGUCCUGCGUGAAAUCCUGCGGCUCAACCGCAGACGGUCGUGGGAAACUGGAGGGCUAGAGUGCGGGAGAGGAGAGUGGAAUUCCCGGUGUAGCGGUGAAAUGCGCAGAUAUCGGGAAGAACACCCGUGGCGAAGGCGGCUCUCUGGAACGCAACUGACGCUGAGACGCGAAAGCGUGGGGAGCAA